ACGUAAAUCUUCUACGAUGCAAACAACCAGGCAUUAAUUAUUGAUGAAUAGGAAUUUAAUGAAAACCAUGUUUAUGACGAUUAGAGAUCUCCUAUGAAUGACAAUAAAUACAGACCUAUUAAUUCUGUUAUGAAAGUUGAUUCGAUGAAACUGAAGACAUACAUAUAAUUAAAAAGUUAUAUAACACGUAUUGUAUGAAAGUAUGCACUGCAUACCAAAAAUUAUAUUAUGAACUAGAUUAUACAUUGUACAGUAUACAAUAUACUGCUCUAAAGGCAUAUAUAUAUAUGUAUUAUAUACCAAACUAAAUACAUAGGAAGUAAUAUUUAUUUUUAUGAAAAUAAUGAAGAGAUUCUUAAUGUUUAGAAUCAAGUGUUUUGCGCGUUGAAACAUUGAAACUAUACAGAUACUUUCACCCUAGCGUUCAUUUAUGGAGCAGCAGUGUGAAAAGAGACGGGAGCUACAUUUUCAUACGUGCCAUGUGUCGACCAUAAUUAAAUCCUAAUUGCUGGAGCCAGACUUAAUUUGAUUUGACGCUAAAAAAAAAAAAAAGAAAAAAAGAAAACCUGGAUAGUGUCGAUAACCGUACGUGUAAGGUCUUUGAUCUUGGUUGACAUAGUUUCCAUUGAAAUGUCGUGGAAUGCGUCACGCGUGUCUGCCGACACUUUUACAGAUUAAAAUAAGAAUUGUUGAGGCCAAACACCAUGAAUAAAUGCACAUAAAUUUUCUUUCCUUUAAAAGUAUCGUAUAUGUACACUUUAAUAUCUAUCAAUUGAUUUUGCAACUUAAUACAAUAUGAUUUUAAUUAAUGUGUGCUAAUGGACGUUAUAGCAAGCUUGUAACUAAUGUGGCGGAACACCUAUAACAUAAUUUAUAAGCAAGUUUAAUGAUUAAAAUACAAGGAACAUUUUAUUUUUGUUUACAUUAUUCCUUAUUUGUAAUUGAUCUGGUUUAUAAUACGAAGGAAAUCACGUUUGCUAUUGCAAAUAGAUUUGCUAUGCAAAUGGCAGCGGUCGAGAACAGAAAUAUUUCAGAGGAAUCCAUCUAAAAAUGUAUGGCACUCAAUGGGUCUAAUUAUAUGCAGACAGCUUGUCUCUCCCAAACGUUACACGAAUAUCCAAGCUUUCACUUGUGUUAUUUAAAUACCAGGAUCAUACUUUUCCAAGUUGCUAAAUCUGUUGACUCACGAUUUUUUCCAUUAUUACCAAAACGAUUAUAUCACAUUCUUUGAAUUAAUUACUUAAAAAUUAGCGAGUUACUUGCUGGUCAAUGUUUUCUGCUAGCCGGCCAAAAAUACUGCAAUCUCUGUAAACAUGUUAGAAAAUCCCUACAUAUACCGUAUGUGCAAUAGCAAAUGUGCUAUUGUGAAAUGUGUAUCAGCCAAACUUUAUCAAAACAAAUUUAUGUAAACAAAUAUACUGAAUGUGCAUCAUAAAACAAAAUAAGAUGCAAAUGUUUUUCAUUUGGUGAUUUAUUCCUAAUCUGGUACUCCUAGUUCCAAUAAAAUUGUGCAAGUAUCAGAUAAAUUUAGUUUAAAUGUUGCAUACAAGAAGAAAGAAUACUUCAGUUCCUGCUUCUGGGUAAAAGCAUACAGUGCUGGCUAUAAGUACCAGAACUCUCGCAGAACUCUUGCUUUCCAUUAUUUUUGUUUUCUAAAUAUUUUAUUAUAAUAAGAUAAUAAAAUCGCAAUAAUAUAAAUACAAUCUACGUUAUAAUGUAAAAUACUAAAUAUGGUAUUUGUCAAAGUAGAUACAACGAGUAGGUAUCCUGAUAUUUAUAGCUAAUAGUACGAUGUAAAUGUUUUAUAAUAAGACACCUAGCAAGACACCUCUUAUAAGAUAACUAUGAAAAGAUAGUAGCGUAAGAAUGCAUAGCGUACCUCGUGCACGUACGCAUACACUGUGAAACAGCAAUAAAAGGGGAAGGGAAAGAAUGCAACGUAUCUGUCUACGUGACCAAAUUAACAUUAAGCCCGAAACAAGCAGUCAUGUCGACGGAACAGAAAGUACUGUAAUCACUCUAACACGAUUACGCGUUAAUAAGCACGUUUUUUGCGGCAACCACCGGAUCCAUAGACGGAAAAACUGGUUUGAAACUGUGUUGUGGAUAUUCAUUGAGACACUCGGUUUCUUCUCGUCCUACUAUCGCCUUCUCCUGCCGUUGUCAUCGAGAAUUCAAAGAAUCGUGAAAGCAGAGAUACUGGUACGUGAUCGAAAUGCCAUAACUUUGGCACGAGACUCCUGGAUACCGGCAAAAUUCGUGACGGAACUCGGAUACAAGUCGAUCGAGCGUCUCCUCUAUGUUAUCGCACAUUUACUAAAUUCUGGUUCUUACUGGAAUUAUGUGGAGAAAUCCGGCCGGAUGUUUUCAACCAGCAUGUUUCAUCUGUGCAAUAUUUAGAUUUGAAAGUGACAUUUUACAUAAAGUUUAGACCUUUCAGGCAAUUGCUUUCUAAUAAUCUAUUUAUUAAGUAAACGAUAGAUGUUUUUAUUUUUGGGGUUAGGUUGAGGUUAGGUUUUUAUUUUUGGUAAAACUGGUGAUAAAUUCUAUUCCAUUACGUAUUUUGUAAAAAAAAUUAUUAAGGAAAAUGUAUUUCUAUUAUUAAUUAUAAGACUGCUGACUUUUUUUUAGCAUUUAUGGGAAAUUCUAAGGUGCAAAAAUGCACAGAAUGCAUAUAAUGCACAAAAAUAUACAUCUGAAAUAUGGCACUGAAUACUGAGUAGCUAAAACAAUUUUCUAUCUGCGUUCUAUUUUUUAAUUAUAUGGACA